rnacentral:rRNA from 1 species
UACGUAGGGUGCGAGCGUUGUCCGGAAUUACUGGGCGUAAAGAGCUCGUAGGUGGUUUGUCGCGUUGUCCGUGAAAACUCACAACUCAAUUGUGGGCGUGCGGGCGAUACGGGCAGACUGGAGUACUGCAGGGGAGACUGGAAUUCCUGGUGUAGCGGUGGAAUGCGCAGAUAUCAGGAGGAACACCCAUAGCGAAGGCAGCUUGCUGGGACGUUACUGACGCUAAGGCGCGAAAGCGUGGGGAGCGAACAGGA